rnacentral:rRNA from 1 species
UACUCCUACGGGAGGCAGCAGUGGGGAAUAUUGCACAAUGGGCGAAAGCCUGAUGCAGCGACGCCGCGUGAGCGAAGAAGUAUUUCGGUAUGUAAAGCUCUAUCAGCAGGGAAGAAAAUGACGGUACCUGACUAAGAAGCACCGGCUAAAUACGUGCCAGCAGCCGCGGUA